GAUGAACGCUGGCGGCGUGCCUAAUACAUGCAAGUCGAGCGAACGGACGAGAAGCUUGCUUCUCUGAUGUUAGCGGCGGACGGGUGAGUAACACGUGGAUAACCUACCUAUAAGACUGGGAUAACUUCGGGAAACCGUAGCUAAUACUGGAUAAUAUUUUGAACCGCAUGGUUCAAAAGUGAAAGACGGUCUUGCUGUCACUUAUAGAUGGAUCCGCGCUGGAUUAGCUAGUUGGUAAGGUAACGGCUUACCAAGGCAACGAUGCAUAGCCGACCUGAGAGGAUGAUCGGCCACACUGGAACUGAGACACGGUCCAGACUCCUACGGGAGGCAGCAGUAGGGAAUCUUCCGCAAUGGGCGAAAGCCUGACGCAGCAACACCGCGUGAGUGAUGAAGGUCUUCGGAUCGUAAAGCUCUUUUAUUGGGAAAGAACAUAAGUAGAAGAAACUGUGCCCAUUUUGACGGUACCUAAUCAAAAAGCACCGGCUAACUACGUG
rnacentral:rRNA from 1 species